GGUGGGAUGGCCGAGCGGCUGAAGGCACCGGUCUUGAAAACCGGCAGGCGUCACUGACGUCUCGGGGGUUCGAAUCCCUCUCCCACCG
rnacentral:tRNA from 1 species